rnacentral:rRNA from 1 species
GGGUGAGUAACGCGUGAGCAAUCUGUCUCAGACAGGGGGAUAACGCAGCGAAAGUUGCACUAAUACCGCAUAAGACCACAGAGCCACAUGGCAUAGGGGUCAAAGGAGCAAUCCGGUCUGAGGUGAGCUCGCGUCCCAUUAGGUAGUUGGUGAGGUAACGGCCCACCAAGCCUGCGAUGGGUAGCCGACCUGAGAGGGUGAUCGGCCACACUGGAACUGAGACACGGUCCAGACUCC